rnacentral:RNase_P_RNA from 1 species
CACCUGCACGGGGUCACCGCGAGCCGCAAGGUUCGAGGAAAGUCCGGGCACCCACGGGCCACCGGCCGGAGAAUAUCCGGGCUGGCGACUCCCGCCAGACCAACAGGGCCACAGAAAAGAACCACCCCAGCAAUGGGGAACGGGUGAAAAGGUAGGGUAAAAGCCUACCGCCGUUUCUAGCAAUAGAGCGGGCGAGAGUAGGUUCCAGAAUCGCUAGGCAGAGGUGAUUUUUGAGAUUUGCAAAGACUGAGCACCGUAAGUGUACACGCGAGUACACGCGGAGCGGAAGGCAAGCAAAGCUCAAAAAGCGCUCUGCAUAGUAGAUUCUGGAGCCUACUCGAAGGUAACCUGCCGGAGGGUGCAAUGCUAAAUAGGGACUCCCAGUGGCGCGGUCCGCGUCCGAAGCGCAAGCCGAGGAGGGUCCGGGUUGGCAGCUUGACGCCUGACGCAAGUCAGCGCGCAGAUGAAUGGUGACCGAUCCCGCAAGGGAGAACAGAACCCGGCUUAUACGUGCAGCAGGAGA